rnacentral:ncRNA from 1 species
UAUAAGUUGUAUUAUAAAUUUAAAUAAAAGUUAAUAAAUUUAAUUAUAGUUUUAAAGUUAAUUUUAAAAUUUAUGUAUAUAUAAAUAUUAAAUAUUUAAUAUAAAAAUUAGUAGUAUAUAAAUUUAAUAAAAUUAAAAAUAUUUAAUUUUAGGAAUUUUUAUAAUUAGGAUAAAUAAUUGUGCCAGCAAUCGUGGUUAAACAAUUUAAAUAAAUUAAUUAAAUUAAAUUAAAAUUAAAUGGAUUUUUAUAAUAAAAAUUUAAAUUGUUAGGUGAAAUUAAUUAAUUUAUGAUUAUUAUAUGUUUAAAAUAAAUUGAGCUUUUAAAAGAUUUUUUAUAAAACUAGGAUUAGAUACCCUAUUAUAUAAAUUGAAAGAAUUAAAUUUUAAUAGUAAAUGAUUAAUCAUUAAAUUUAAAUAAUUUGGCGGUAUUUUAAUUUUAUUAGAGGAAUUUGUUAAUUAAUUGAUACUACUCAAUAAGUUAGACUUUAAUUAAAUUUUUAUAUUGUUGUUUAAAGAGUAUUUUUGGAAAAAUUAUUUAAAAUUUUUUUUGAAAAUUAAUUCAGAUCAAAAUGAAGUGUAUAUUAAAGAGUUAAUGAAUUACAAUAAAUUUAAUUUAAAUGAAUUUAUAAUUUAAAAAUUAUAAUGAAGGUGGAUUUAAAAGUAAAAUAAAAUAAUUAUUUUAUUUGAUUAAAAUUUUAAAGUAUGUACAAAUUGCCCGUCGUUCUCUUUGAAAAAGGAGGUAAGUCGUAACAAAGUAAAAGUACUGGAAAGUGUUUUUAGAU